UGGAGAUAGGAUUAGUCUCUAAUAGAGAUGAUGGAGUAAUAAUGGGUUAUUCUUUAGGUCACAGUGGCAUUGCUCCUAGUAUCCAUAUAGGUGAUGAUGGGCUAGAUUAGCUAUUGCUAGUGGGUUGAGAAAGUUGUAGGCAAGCUUUUAGGUUUUUUAAGUGGGGUUAUAUUUGAUCACGUAGUUUUUAGUGAAAGCCUUUGGGAAGCAAGAUGAUUCUAAGGCUGCAAAUAUUUGUUAAAAUCACUUGAAAUGGAGAUUGAACUAUAAAUAAUUGUUUGCUCGAUUGGCUUG
rnacentral:lncRNA from 1 species